CAGCAUCGACAUCCUCAUGGCUGGUCAGCAGCAGAGUGGCACGGCUCACACUGCAUGACAGUCCAGCUCUAGCUAGCAAUGCUACCAGGUGCAUGCUGGUCUACGGCGAAACAACGCCACCGGGACAUUCAUGCCAACCCCACCCCCAAAAAACAUGUGCCACAAGCUAUAGCUUAUGUCGACGCACGUUGGCCACGUGAAGCCACCUAAAAGUGCUGUGAGGGAGCUGUGACACCAAGAAUUGCUUGGAUGCAUUCAACACAUAGGGGAUCACAGCCGGGAGCGCAUAAGCAGCACAGCUCCCAUAUGUUGAGCUCUCACGUAUGCCGGUCAUCAGCUGAAAUAGAUUUGGUACUUUAAAAGAGAGAAGCCAGAGGCCAGCUAGAUAGCGGGUGGGUUUCCAUCCUCGGUCACUUGCUCGCUAGACCCUCUGCGUGAGUCCCUUUGACAGCCAGCUACCCACGCAGCAGCCAGCCACCCCUUGACCCAGGUUUUGGGCGGGGCCCCAGCGUGAAGCGCCCAGGGGGGCCCCGCCCUGUAGGAUUGCCCAUGUCCGUGUGGCCGUGUGUGUGUGUGUGUAACGGACAAAACAUAAUACCUCGCCCGGCUGAAACGCGUCAUUGGUAAUAUAUUGCAUUCUCUAUUGCAAGGUAUCUCGCCUGUAGCCAACAAGCAUCGUAUGGGCACUGCCUUCAUGCUGUACGGCACUGUCUUCCGUGUGUGUUCGGGCUGCAGCACCAGACCGCAAAGCCAACAGGCUGAAGGCUGGCAAGCUGCGAUUGUGUCUGUUGGCUGCAGGCCCCG
rnacentral:lncRNA from 1 species